rnacentral:rRNA from 1 species
GAUGAACGCUGGCGGCGUGCCUAGUACAUGCAAGUCGAGCGAACAGACGAGGAGCUUGCUCCUCUGACGUUAGCGGCGGACGGGUGAGUAACACGUGGAUAACCUACCUAUAAGACUGGGAUAACUUCGGGAAACCGGAGCUAAUACCGGAUAAUAUAUUGAACCGCAUGGUUCAAUAGUGAAAGACGGUUUUGCUGACACUUAUAGAUGGAUCCGCGCCGCAUUAGCUAGUUGGUAAGGUAACGGCUUACCAAGGCAACGAUGCGUAGCCGACCUGAGAGGGUGAUCGGCGACACUGGAAGUGAGACACGGUCCAGACUCCUACGGGAGGCAGCAGUAGGGAAUCUUCCGCAAUGGGCGAAAGCUUGACGGAGCAACGCCGCGUGAGUGAUGAAGGUCUGCGGAUCGUAAAACGCUGUUAUUAGGGAAGAACAAAUGUGUAAGUAACUAUGCACGUCUUGACGGUACCUAAUCAGAAAGCCACGGCUAACUACGUG